AAGCGGAGGAAAAGAAACCAACAGGGAUUGCCUCAGUAACGGCGAGUGAAGCGGCAAAAGCUCAAAUUUGAAACCCUCGGGAUUGUAAUUUGAAGAUUUGGCAUUGGAGAAAGCUAACCCAAGUUGCUUGGAAUAGUACGUCAUAGAGGGUGACAACCCCGUCUGGCUAACCGUUCUCCAUGUAUUGCCUUAUCAAAGAGUCGAGUUGUUUGGGAAUGCAGCUCAAAGUGGGUGGUAAACUCCAUCUAAAGCUAAAUACUGGUGAGAGACCGAUAGCGAACAAGUACUGUGAAGGAAAGGUGAAAAGAACUUUGAAAAGAGAGUGAAAUAGUAUGUGAAAUUGUUGAUAGGGAAGGAAAUGAGUGGAGAGUGGCCGAGGUUUCAGCCGCCCCUCGUGGGCGGUGUACUGCCGACGCCGAGUCAUCGAUAGCGAGACGAGGGUUACAAAUGGGAGCGCCUUCGGGCGUUCUCCCCUAACCCUCCACACUGCCACCGACGACAUAAUCCACCCAUUUCACCCGUCUUGAA
rnacentral:rRNA from 1 species